GACAGAGGGUGCAAACGUUGUUCGGAUUUACUGGGCGUAAAGCGCGUGUAGGCGGCUUGGCAAGUUGGAUGUGAAAGCCCACGGCUCAACCGUGGAAGCGCAUCCAAAACUGCUUCGCUCGAGUCUCGGAGAGGAAGGUGGAAUGCUUGGUGUAGAGGUGAAAUUCGUAGAUAUCAAGCAGAACACCUGCGGCGAAGGCGGCCUUCUGGACGAUGACUGACGCUGAGGCUCGAAAGCGUGGGGAGCAAACAGG
rnacentral:rRNA from 1 species